AGCUCCAAUAGCGUAUAUUAAAGCUGUUGCGGUUAAAAAGCUCGUAGUUGGAUUUCUGUCAAGGACAACUGGUCCGCCCUCCGGGUGAGCACUCAGAUUGGUCUUGGCAUCUUGCUGGAACCUGUGCUGUGCUUGGCUGUAUGGCACAGGGCUCAGCACUUUCACUUUGAGGAAAUUGGAGUGUUUCAAGCAGGCACAUGCCUUUGGACACAGUAGCAUGGAAUAAUUAGAUUGGGCCUUUGCUCCAUCUUGUCGGUUUAUGGAGCUGAGGUGAGAAUUAAUGGGGAUUGUUGGGGGCAUCCGUAUUUAGCCGUCAGAGGUGAAAUUCUUGGAUCUGCUAAAGACGGACGACUGCGAAAGCGUUUGCCCAGGAUGUUUUCAUUGAUCAAGAACGAAAGUA
rnacentral:rRNA from 1 species